AUUGAACGCUGGCGGCAUGCCUUACACAUGCAAGUCGAACGGCAGCGGACCUUCGGGUGCCGGCGAGUGGCGAACGGGUGAGUAAUAUGUCGGAACGUACCUUUCAGUGGGGGAUAACGUAGCGAAAGUUACGCUAAUACCGCAUAUUCUGUGAGCAGGAAAGCAGGGGAUCGCAAGACCUUGCGCUGAUUGAGCGGCCGAUAUCAGAUUAGCUAGUUGGUGAGGUAAGGGCUCACCAAGGCGACGAUCUGUAGCGGGUCUGAGAGGAUGAUCCGCCACACUGGAACUGAGACACGGUCCAGACUCCUACGGGAGGCAGCAGUGGGGAAUUUUGGACAAUGGGCGCAAGCCUGAUCCAGCCAUGCCGCGUGAGUGAAGAAGGCC
rnacentral:rRNA from 1 species